rnacentral:snRNA from 1 species
CUUUGGUGGCACAUAUACUAAAAAAUAGGAACAAUACAGAGAAGAUUAGCAUGGCCCCUGCACAAGGAUGACACAAAAAUUUGUGAUGCAUUCCAUAUUUGU